GAUGAACGCUGGCGGCGUGCCUAAUACAUGCCAGUCGAGCGAACGGACGAGAAGCUUGCUUCUCUGAUGUUAGCGGCGGACGGGUGAGUAACACGUGGAUAACCUACCUAUAAGACUGGGAUAACUUCGGGAAACCGGCGCUAAUACCGGAUAAUAUUUUGAACCGCAUGGUUCAAAAGUGAAAGACGGUCUUGCUGUCACUUAUAGAUGGAUCCGCGCUGCAUUAGCUAGUUGGUAAGGUAACGGCUUACCAAGGCAACGAUGCAUAGCCGACCUGAGAGGGUGAUCGGCACAGCUGGAAAUGAGACACGGUCCAGACUCCUAAGGGAGGCAGCAGUAGGGAAUAUUCCGCAAUGGGCGAAAGACUGACGGAGCAACGACGCGUGAGUGGUGAAGGUCUUCGGAUCGUAAAACUCUGUUAUUAGGGAAGAACAUAUGUGUAAGUAACUGUGCACAUCUUGACGGUACCUAAUCAGAAAGCCACGGCUAACUACGUG
rnacentral:rRNA from 1 species